rnacentral:tRNA from 1 species
UGCGGAUAUGAUGAAAUUCAGGUAGACAUAUUAGAUUUAGAUUCUAAUGACUUAAGAUAGUCAUGAGGGUUCAAAUCCCUCUAUCCGUAU